GGUGUAGCUCAGUGGGAUCUGAGCAUCUUCUUUGUGUGGAGAAGGUGCCUGGUUCAAUCCUCAACAUCUCCAGGUAGGACUG